UACGUAGGUGGCAAGCGUUGUCCGGAUUUACUGGGCGUAAAGCGCGCGCAGGCGGAUUGGUCAGUCCGGGGUGAAAUCUCACGGCUCAACUGUGAGCGGUCCCCGGAUACUGCCAGUCUCGAGGUGUCUAGAGGAGAGCGGAAUUCCCGGUGUAGUGGUGGAAUGCGUAGAUAUCAGGAAGAACACCAAUGGCGAAAGCAGCUCUCUGGGACGGUACUGACGCUGAGACGCGAAAGCGUGGGGAGCGAACAGG
rnacentral:rRNA from 1 species